CUCGUAGGAGACUGCCGGCGUCAAGUCGGAGGAAGGUGGGGACGACGUCAAGUCAUCAUGCCCCUUAUGUCCAGGGCUGCAAACAUGCUACAAUGGCCGGUACAACGGGCAGCGACACCGCGAGGUGAAGCGAAUCCCUUAAAGCCGGUCUCAGUUCGGAUUGAAGUCUGCAACUCGACUUCAUGAAGCUGGAGUCGCUAGUAAUCCCGGAUCAGCAACGCCGGGGUGAAUACGUUCCCGGGCCUU
rnacentral:rRNA from 1 species